CCCCAGCUCUCGAAUUUUCUCUCUCUCUCUUUCUGUCUCAAAAAUAAAUAAACAUUUUUAAAAAAUAGAGGGAUGCACCCUUACACCAUGAUGGGAGAAGCCUGGGGAGUGAGGUUCUGGUGGGGACAUUGGUGGGGAUCAGAGGACAGUGCUGAGUGAGAACCAGACAGCCGAGUGGGGAGAUGUCUAGAGAGGGCUGUUCCCUGGUGGAGCGUUGGUUCUGAGGUCUCUGCAGGCAAGCGGGGCAGGUGCUGGGGGAGGAGGCAUUACAAAGCAGGAGAGAACAAAGGCCAAGUCGCUCCCAAGGGGACACAGUGGCCUAUGUCUGUCCCCACUGCACCUAGAGGAGAAGCCAGUGGCCUGUACCCACACCUGGCCCGGACGUGGAGGUGGCCCAGCACAGUGGUGGCGACUUCCCCUUUGCCCUGAUCUCCUGCACGUUUCUCCCUUGGCCUGCCCACCCAUUUUUCCUCCCUGCAGACUGCCCUCUCCUCCCAUGAAAGUGAGUCUGACAAGCGAGGGACACAUGGUCGUGCUUGUCAGCGGACGGGCUUCCUCCCAGGGCUGACUCUCCACGCCACGCUGUCCUUUUCACGCUUUCCUCCCCUCAUCUCAUUGCUUGUUCUCUGGCUUCUCUUCCCUGUGAGAGUGGGAGCCCUUCCUGGGAGGACAGGGCCCAGUCCAUCCUGUUUAUGUCUGUACCUCCGGGAUCCGGCCUAGCACCCGGCACCAAGUGCACACGUGGGACAGUGGAUAAACGAACGGGUGAACUUGUGGCUCUGCUGUUCUAGAAACCAUCUCAAGUAGCUUUGGUGACAACGUGUAUUUUUCGGCGCUCGCUGCGAGGAAUAAAUAGCUUUGUAGAUGGACCGUAGUGGAUUAGACCUGCCAGCCAUUUUCAGUGGUGACUUUGUCCUGAGAUGGAACUGUUGGAAUGAGGAGGGCCGGAUUCAAUUCCAAGAUUCAGAAAAUAGUAUCACCGUGGCUUAAACCAGAUAGGAGUUUAUUUCUGUCUCACAUAAACUGAGCCCGGGGGGAAGCGAUCCGCGGAAUCCUUAGGGCCCCGCCUUCCCCGACCCUCCACUUGGCCCUUGCUUGGCCCUUGACUCUCUUUCUCCUGGUCCAAGAUGGCAGCACCCGCGUUUCAGGCGGCAGGCAGAAAGAGGGGGAAAAGCAGAGAACAAAACAAAAAUGCAGCCACAGGACACUUCUGCUUACAUUCCGUUAUCUAGAACUUCUAUGGCUGCAGAAGAGGCUGGGAUGUAACCUCUAUUCUGGGCGGCCAUGUGCCCGCCCAGGUAGAGAGUCUCCAAAGAUGGUUUUGUCAGGCCACCAGCAAUCUUUGCCACAGUUGCGUUUGGGGAGAGGUCGCGUGUCUUCCUUCUCACUCCCUCUUUCACGUGCAGGCUGGGAACCAAGUGGAAGGUCUCAGGCCCCGUGCUCCUGUGCGGGGUCAUCGUUAGCUUUUCCUAGGAGCCGGGCAAGCUGGCCGCAGCGUGCUGUGAUUGGGUUGUCUGUGUUGAAUGGCCCGAGGUUGUCCACAAGGCAAAUAUCGAAUUGCAGGGAGUAGGCUGCACUUCAAUGCACUGGGCCAAAAAACCUAAGAAACACACAAACCAAAAAGCCACCCUAAACCCAGGGGAAAUCUGUCAGGGCUUAGAGGCAGCGGUGAGCAGGGAGGAAGGCAGUAUGAGUUCAUGGUGGGGCCACGGUUUUGCUGCGUCGUGAUUGAAAGAGCAUUUACUAUAGGGUGGGAAUUUUAAAUCUCUUUUUAAAAGCAUGAGUCUCCGGGGAGUGUGUCGGAGGCGGGAACCGCUCCCCGGAGAGCAGUUUUGUAACUACUUGUAGCUGAGUUUAUUUUGUUUUACUGAAGUAUGCCAGGCUGGACAUUUCCUCCUGUUCUCAUGCUUCUGGACUCAAGAAUGCAGAGAGCACGCUGGCCUCCGGAAAGCAUCAUCAGCAGGAUGUGAACCAGGGGCUCCCCCUUCGUGUCCAAAGGGCGAAUCACCUUGCUCCUGAGCCGUCGGUGUGGGUGCGGACUGGGGGCGUCGGGGAGAAGCAGGAGCUACCGGUAAUGGAAGUGUGAUGGGCUGGCGUCUCAGCCAAAGUACACUUGAACGUGAACUGCUGGUGUUUAUUCAAGUCGACUUCCUCACGUCCUAUGUCCUGAGGGCCUGGGCCAUCCCCGUUACUGCCAUUGCUGCUAUGGUGCAGGAUCCAGCGCGCUCAAGGUGUGUGCCUCUGGGCUGGGCUGAUGCCCAGGGCCGGGCUUCCUUUCUGGAGCUGCGUCAGUUUCCCUCUCAGCCCUCACACUCCUUGGCGGCCCAGAGCGACAAAGGCAGGAGUGCGUGCAGUGUAAGUCAAUCAACGAAGCGAACAAAAUCCAGAGAAACAGCACCUGCCCUCGACUGAGCGCAUGCUGUGUUCUAGGUCCUGAAUGCCCGAGAUCUCAGCACCUCCUCAAGGCGGGGAUCGUCUUCUCUCACUUCGGGGGUCAGGAGAACAGGGUCGUACCAGUUGGGUGAUGUGCCUCCGGGUCUGUGUGUGAUGGGGUUUGGGGGUCAGGUGGGAUCCUCAAGCUGGGGAGCAGCCUAGCCCCAUGAAUGCUGCCAAGGGGCAUCUCUGUGGGAGAGAGGAGGCACUCUCCCUCUCUCGCGUGGGGAGCUCUGUGGGCUGUGGGGCGGAGCGACCUCCCACGUGGCAGCACCUGUUCCCUCCACAAACCGGCCGGCACCGCCUUCCUGCCCUUGGGAGCAGACACUGCGGUUGACAAAGGUCGUCCGGCUUAUCCAGCCUCUGUUUUCCUGUGAUAUUGAUGUUUAUGCCAAGUGGGAGAGAGACCUCAAAGUGUUUAGGCUUUAUUGUUCUGCUGAGCUAUUCAUGGGCCCAUGUAUUUCCUACCGCAUAAACCCAGACUGGACUUCGUGGACGGUGAUUAUACUAAACCAAGACCACAGCGACCCCACCUUACUCCCAGGUUAUGGUCAAAUAUGUGUGGAUGUUUCUGACAAGCUAUGUGUGAGACGAGUGGAGGCCCAGGAGUCGGAUCCAACUGUGUUUGUGGCUGGUACAGAGGAAGGUAAUGAAUGAGGUGCGGGCAGCAUAGAGGGGUCGAAGCCAGAGCACAAUCCGUGGUCGGUAAAGUGCGUUCGGUCAACAAAUAUUUACGGGAGAUCUCUGUGUCGGGCACUGAGCCGUGUGCUGGGGUGCUUUACUCGGCAAGAUGCUCAGCAUGGUCACGAAUUCUGUCAUUGUGGCAAAUGUGCUCACAUAAGUUUGUUCUGUCGACGGCAGUGAGCUCAAGGAUUUAAAAAAUCCACAGUACGACCCACAGACCUUCAUGUCUUGCAGGCGAUAGAGAAACCGAGGUGGCUCCAAAUCAGCUUUCUGCUGCUGCUUCGGGAUCUGAUACCAGCUUGGACGGUGGCCAUGGGAACCGUUUUCUGACGUGUCACGGCCAGGAGUUGGCAGUUACCCACUUUCAGGUGCAGCGACGGUGUCCCCACCUGCAGGGAUGGUGAGCGCAUCCAAUCCCGGGGCUCUGAUCAGGUGAGAAGUCCAAUGAAACCCAAACUUGUCCUCUGGACAAGGCUGCUCCGUGAAAUAGAGCUGCCCCUCAGUGAGUCUGGCUGUCUCUCCGGGCCCCUCGCCAAGCCUCAGAAGCACCUUAACUUGAAGCCCUGCUGAUUCAAAGCACCGCCUUCUGUUCUGGGCAAGCCUUGGCCAGGAAAAGUCAGCUUGCAGGGACCACGCCUAAACAAAGGAGCCAAAGAUACACCCAAAAUCGAAGCCACAUCCCGUGUUCCCCAAAGAUGAUGGCUUUUCUGUUCCCCGCAGCUCAUUACGAGGGCCCCUCACCGGACAAUGGACCUCUCUGGGCCACCCAGCCGCGCAGGGGAUAAGACAGCUUCUGAAAUACAGAAUAUUUUUGGAGCUCUGAUCCCGACUCCCACAUCCGCAGCCCCUUUUGGACUAGACAGCCUCCUCCUCGGAUUCUCGGUGGCUCAUCACAUCCCUCCAUCUGUGACCAGAAACGGGCUGGGGGAACGAGUAGACAAGAAGGCCAUCGCCGACCAGGCCCACAGCUUCCCAGAGGGAAGGCGGUUGGAAGCACAGCGGUCUGAGUAUCAGCCGUCGCAGAGCAGGGGCUGAGGCAGGCGAUGGAGGAAGACGGGAGGUGAAGCUGGCAUCAGAGCCUUCCCUGGCGGAGCGAUUCCCGAAGACACUGCUGAUGAACUGCAGCCUGUCUGGGAGCCCCCCCGCCCCGGGCCCCCCGCCCCCUCCUCUUCUGUGCAGAGAAAGGUAGCCGGGGAGCUGUUGCAUGGCUGGGGUGCCGUCUGCCCCGACCCCUAUCGUUUCGCCUCUUGGCUUGGGUCCCAGGCCCCACGGUGGGCCGGUGGCUGGCUAAGGCCACAGAUGAGCUGAGUAGCUACACGGUACGGCUUGGGAGCAUUUCAGCAUGGCGGGAAGGGAGUGUGCUUUGCAGGCGAAUGGCCCCAGCGUCCUGGCCCAGCCCUCUCUCCUUUGAAAUCCAACUGCAUUCUGGCACUUUGCAUUACUUAGGGUAACACGGGCAGCAGUAACAAAGAACCCCUCCGAUGUCACAGCCUUAGCACUGAUAUUUACGUCCAGUUCAGGACAGUGGGUGACAGUCCUCAGGUGGCGAUUCAGGAGCCCAGGCUCGCCGACCCCUAGGGCCUCGGAGAUCUCCGCGCGGCGGGCGAGAGAAAGCGCAGGUUACAUGAGCCUCAAACGACACACCUCACUUCUACUCACAUUUCAUUGUCGGGAGGAUGGGGAAACGUGAUCCGAGGGAGAACUUCGUGCUGUGGCCGGGAGGGUGCCAGUGUCGCUGUCACAAUAAUGGGGUAAACUUUCAAAGCUUCGGUUUCCUCGUCUGUAAACAGAGACGUGGAACCAACAGCCGAGAGUUACCAGGAAGACGAGAGCUGAUGUCUGCGAUGCGACUCAGCCAGUGCCUGACGUGGAUCGGGGGCUGUGAUUACAGCCAGAGGGACAGGGGCUGUCUCAUCAGCUGGAGCCGGGGCGAUCCAAGCUCAUGCCCACGUGUCCAUCCUGUGCUUCUGCAGAAAGAGGUUUCUUACGUGAGACUGUUAUGCAACGUGCGUGCUGGAUCGUGGUUAAUAUGGGAAUGCUGGUCUCCGUCGUGAUGAUUAUUAGGUAACGUGCAUUACGUACUGUGAUUAUGUUGUAAAUGCAAGUGAACCGCUCACUCUACCGAACGUCCCGUGGACUAAAAUUCUGGGGGCAUCGACGCAAGCUUUGGACUAUUUUCCCAUUGUUUGCUAUCUUUGAAAAGGCCUUUGUUAUCAGAGCGGUAGAGAUCAUUGCAAAAAUUGCCAACACACAGAUGGCUCUAAAGUGGAACUUAAAAGCCUUCUCCCCACACUCGGUGCCCCCUCUCUUACCGUUGUUGGAUAAGCAACUAUCGUUAACGCUUUCGGUAAAUCCUUCCAGAAACACUCUACGUUUAUACACAAGCAUAUUUAAGUCCUCUCCUUUUGCACAGAAGCAAAUCAUGCUAACGCGUUAUUCCGCAACUCCUUUCUCUUUUUCUCUGCUUCCGCAUCUGCUCUAACUCAAUAGUAUUCCAUCGUGGAAUGAGCCACAGUUUCUUUAACCAGCGACGAGAGGUUGAGUGAGAAGUAAAAAGGCAUCAAACCCCUCUUUUCUCCGUGUGAGUUGAUGGCUCACUCCCCACGCUGACCUCCCCACCAGAUUUCAGGUGUCCUCUGAAAUCACAGUCCCAUCCGGGUGCACCCAGGGUCCACGUGCCUCCUACCGGGGCAUCCCCUCAACAUCCCAGGAUGUGAAUGGCUGUGGUCCAAAAAAUGAGAAUAAGGGCCUGGGGGUGGAGCAAGCUGUCAAAAGUCUUCAGGAACUCCUUCCUUGUGCCCAUAGCCUCUAGCUGGCUUAAAAAGGUAAAACGCUCUUUCUUGUCCCCUCCGGGGCAUGGGGUACGCUUGGUUCAACUUCAGAGAUCUGGGCCCAGAGAUUGGUGAUCCGAAAAGGAAUCCUACACUGUCGCUCAGGUCAUUUGGAUGAAGACUUCUUAAUGGAGGGAGAAAACCAAGUGGUCCUUGCAACUUUGCGGGUUUUCACUGGGCAUUUGGAGAUCUCGCUGGUUCUGUGUUCAGCGAGGCUGUGAAAAUGAUUCUGUGCACACAUCACUUGUCCAAGCCAUGGGGACCCAACCGGCUUCGGCCCUAGAAGACUAUCUUCCAGUUUUCAAAUGUUCGUGUGCCACCUUCUGAUUCCCUCUUUUCCAUCUCUGCAGACGGCAAAGCCUUGGAGUCACAGGUUGGGUGUGUUUAUAUUCUUUGGAAUAAACACAUCACAAUAAAUAAACUCCUUUAAAAAAAAAAAGGCAUGACCGU